ACGAGUGACAAAAGCAACUCUAAUAAACACAGGUUUUGGUUGGUAUUAAAAGUAGCAAAAGUAGAUACUUCCCUUCAAAUAACAAAAGUAAAUUCUAAAAGAAAAGAAAAAAUUCUUUCUCCUUCCAAGCUUUAAUCAAUUCCCGUCUUCUUAUAAAUACUCACAUAUGAAGUAAUAUAAAUCCCAAACAAAUUGAAGUUGCCUAAUUCCUGAUGGAGGACACACAGCGUAGUUAGCUUCUUGAGUUUGGACUCUGCAAAAUUGAUCAGAUCCAUAAUAUGGGAGAGACUCUGGAGAAAUUCUUGGCUGGCCAAGAAAUAAAGUUGUCAAUUGGUAUGGGAGGUGUAGGGAAAAGAAUUCAAGGCAUCAAAAGUGCAGAAGCCAUCUUAACUUGAGCCCAACAACUGAGGGAAGCAGCUUAUCGCAUCCAACAUCUAUUCCAUUAUCAACUGAAACUGCAACAUGAGAUUUCCAUUUGACAUGGAAACAACAAAUCUUUAGCUUCUAAUGAAGGUGGCCUUCUCUCGAGAAAAUGCUAUUAUCAUCUUCCUCACCAUCUCAAAUCAUCAUCUGAACAUGUUGCAGAAGCAUACUUUACACUUCCCAAACUCUUAUUUUAUGAAACAUUUGUCUUUGAAUUUUAGAUAAUGCUCAACAAUUACAGCAUUAUCUUUCUCGGAUUCUAGAUAAUGCUUUAAUAUUUUACGCAUUAUCUUUCUUUGAUCAAAUUUAGAUACUAAAUUUUAAAUACCGAAAUUUAGAUAACAUUUGAUAACAAAAAAGUGUUAUCAAUUUUAGAGUAAGGAGGUUAUUUUCUAAAUAUUUUAUGUAAUCUUUUCAAAGGUAAAGGAUAAUGUUUACAAUAAAAUUAUAGGUUCACCUUUGGGUACAGAAUUUAUAUUGUACCAAAAGUGUGUAUAUG